rnacentral:rRNA from 1 species
UCGAAAGAGCAGCUAAUACCGCAUACGACCUGAGGGUGAAAGCGGGGGAUCGCAAGACCUCGCGCGAUUGGAGCGGCCGAUAUCAGAUUAGGUAGUUGGUGAGGUAAAGGCUCACCAAGCCGACGAUCUGUAGCUGGUCUGAGAGGACGACCAGCCACACUGGGACUGAGACACGGCCCAGACUCCUACGGGAGGCAGCAGUGGGGAAUUUUGGACAAUGGGCGCAAGCCUGAUCCAGCCAUGCCGCGUGCGGGAAGAAGGCCUUCGGGUUGUAAACCGCUUUUGUCAGGGAAGAAAAGGUUCUGGCUAAUACCUGGGACUCAUGACGGUACCUGAAGAAUAAGCACCGGCUAACUACGUGCCAGCAGCCGCGGUAAUACGUAGGGUGCAAGCGUUAAUCGGAAUUACUGGGCGUAAAGCGUGCGCAGGCGGUUAUGCAAGACAGAGGUGAAAUCCCCGGGCUCAACCUGGGAACUGCCUUUGUGACUGCAUGGCUAGAGUACGGUAGAGGGGGAUGGAAUUCCGCGUGUAGCAGUGAAAUGCGUAGAUAUGCGGAGGAACACCGAUGGCGAAGGCAAUCCCCUGGACCUGUACUGACGCUCAUGCACGA